rnacentral:rRNA from 1 species
CCAAUAGCGUAUAUUAAAGUUGCUGCAGUUAAAAAGCUCGUAGUUGAAUUUCGGGAUCAAUAUGUCGGUCGUGCCUCGGUACGUACUGGCUUAUUGGUUUCUCCUUUCUGAAGAACCAUGAUGUCAUUUAUUUGGUGUCGUGGGAAAUCAGGACUGUUACUUUGAAAAAAUUAGAGUGUUUAAAGCAGGCUCACGCUUGAAUACAUUAGCAUGGAAUAAU